UAAUUGAAGAGUUUGAUCAUGGCUCAGAUUGAACGCUGGCGGCAGGCCUAACACAUGCAAGUCGAGCGGCAGCGGGAGGAAGCUUGCUUCCUCGCCGGCGAGCGGCGGACGGGUGAGUAAUGUCUGGGGAUCUGCCCGAUGGAGGGGGAUAACCACUGGAAACGGUGGCUAAUACCGCAUAACGUCGCAAGACCAAAGUGGGGGACCUUCGGGCCUCACACCAUCGGAUGAACCCAGAUGGGAUUAGCUAGUAGGUGGGGUAAUGGCUCACCUAGGCGACGAUCCCUAGCUGGUCUGAGAGGAUGACCAGCCACACUGGAACUGAGACACGGUCCAGACUCCUACGGGAGGCAGCAGUGGGGAAUAUUGCACAAUGGGCGCAAGCCUGAUGCAGCCAUGCCGCGUGUGUGAAGAAGGCCUUCGGGUUGUAAAGCACUUUCAGCGAGGAGGAAGGUGGUGA
rnacentral:rRNA from 1 species